GAUGAACGCUGGCGGCGUGCCUAAUACAUGCAAGUCGAGCGAAUGGAUUAAGAGCUUGCUCUUAUGAAGUUAGCGGCGGACGGGUGAGUAACACGUGGGUAACCUGCCCAUAAGACUGGGAUAACUCCCGGAAACCGGGGCUAAUACCGGAUAACAUUUUGAACCGCAUGGUUCGAAAUUGAAAGGCGGCUUCGGCUGUCACUUAUGGAUGGACCCGCGUCGCAUUAGCUAGUUGGUGAGGUAACGGCUCACCAAGGCAACGAUGCGUAGCCGACCUGAGAGGGUGAUCGGCCACACUGGGACUGAGACACGGCCCAGACUCCUACGGGAGGCAGCAGUAGGGAAUCUUCCGCAAGGGACGAAAGUCUGACGGAGCAACGCCGCGUGAGGGAUGAAGGCUGUCGGGUCGGAAAACUCUGUUGUUAGGGAAGAACAAGUGCUAGUUGAAUAAGCUGGCACCUUGACGGUACCUAACCAGAAAGCCACGGCUAACUACGUG
rnacentral:rRNA from 1 species